rnacentral:rRNA from 1 species
GACUUCCUACGGGGGGCAGCAGUGGGGAAUAUUGCACAAUGGGGGAAACCCUGAUGCAGCAACGCUGCGUGAGUGAAGAAGUAUUUCGGUAUGUAAAGCUCUAUCAGCAGGGAAGAAGAAAGACGGUACCUGACUAAGAAGCCCCGGCUAACUACGUGCCAGCAGCCGCGGUAAUACGUAGGGGGCAAGCGUUAUCCGGAAUUACUGGGUGUAAAGGGAGCGCAGGCGGGAAGCCAAGUCAGCUGUGAAAACUACGGGCUUAACUUGUAGACUGCAGUUGAAACUGGUUUUCUUGAGUGAAGUAG